rnacentral:lncRNA from 1 species
UCCAAACUUAAGCCUCAACGUGUCCCCAAAACAACUGAUGCUCAUCAAGAUGAUAUCUUAGCUAUAAACCCAUAAGCCCACAGGCCUGAGGAGCACCUGCCAUGUUAGCAAAACUAACAUCUUAACUUAAAAAUCAUUUCACAGCAAAAAUUGACUCUGCCUAAGAGUAAGACCAAUUCUGCAUGGCAGGUGGAAUUGCCUAUUUGAUUGGUGUACCUGAAAGUGACAGGGAGAAUGGAACCAAGUUGGAAAACACUCUUCAGGUUAUUAUCAAGGAGAAUUUUCCUAACAUAGCAAGACAGGCCAACAUUCAAAUUCAGGAAAUACAGAGAACACCACAAAGAUACUCCUUGAGAAGAGCAACCCCAAGACACAUAAUCAUCAGAUUCACCAAGGCUGAAAUGAAGGAAAAAAUGUUAAAGGCAGCCAGAGAGAAAGGUCGGGUUACCCACAAAGGGAAGCCCAUCAGACUAACAAUAGAUCUCUCUGAAGAAACCCUACAAGCCAGAAUAGAGUGGGGGCCAAUAUUCAACAUUCUUAAAGAAAAGAAUUUUCAACCCAGAAUUUCAUAUCCAGCCAAACUAAGCUUCAUA